AUUGAACGCUGGCGGCAUGCCUUACACAUGCAAGUCGAACGGCAGCACGGACUUCGGUCUGGUGGCGAGUGGCGAACGGGUGAGUAAUGUAUCGGAACGUACCUUUCAGUGGGGGAUAACGUAGCGAAAGUUACGCUAAUACCGCAUAUUCUGUGAGCAGGAAAGCAGGGGAUCGCAAGACCUUGCGCUGAUUGAGCGGCCGAUAUCAGAUUAGCUAGUUGGUGGGGUAAAGGCCUACCAAGGCUACGAUCUGUAGCGGGUCUGAGAGGAUGAUCCGCCACACUGGAACUGAGACACGGUCCAGACUCCUACGGGAGGCAGCAGUGGGGAAUUUUGGACAAUGGGGGCAACCCUGAUCCAGCCAUGCCGCGUGAGUGAAGAAGGCCUUCGGGUUGUAAAGGCUCUUUCGGCCGGGAAGAAAUCGUAUGGGUUAAUAACCCUGUGCGGAUGACGGUACCGGCAUAAGAAGCACCGGCUAACUACGUGCCAGCAGACCC
rnacentral:rRNA from 1 species